rnacentral:rRNA from 1 species
UACGAACGGUCCAAGCGUUAAUCGGAAUUACUGGGCGUAAAGCGUGCGCAGGCGGUUGUGCAAGACCGAUGUGAAAUCCCCGGGCUUAACCUGGGAAUGGCAUUUGUGACUGCACGGCUAGAGUGUGUCAGAGGGGGGUAGAAUUCCACGUGUAGCAGUGAAAUGCGUAGAGAUGGGGAGGAAUACCGAUGGCGAAGGCAGCCCCCUGGGAUAACACUGACGCUCAUGCACGAAAGCGUGGGGAGCAAACAGG